CAGCAGUCGCCGCGGUAAUACAGAGGGUGCGAGCGUUAAUCGGAUUUACUGGGCGUAAAGCGUGCGUAGGCGGCUUUUUAAGUCGGAUGUGAAAUCCCUGAGCUUAACUUAGGAAUUGCAUUCGAUACUGGGAAGCUAGAGUAUGGGAGAGGAUGGUAGAAUUCCAGGUGUAGCGGUGAAAUGCGUAGAGAUCUGGAGGAAUACCGAUGGCGAAGGCAGCCAUCUGGCCUAAUACUGACGCUGAGGUACGAAAGCAUGGGGAGCAAACAGGAUUAGAUACCCGAGUAGUCCCUGUCUCUUAUAC
rnacentral:rRNA from 1 species